CUCCUAAGGCUAAAUACUCUCUAGUGACCGAUAGUGAACCAGUACCGUGAGGGAAAGGUGAAAAGCACCCCGGAAGGGGAGUGAAAUAGAACCUGAAACCGUGUGCUUACAAGUAGUCAGAGCCCGUUAAUGGGUGAUGGCGUGCCUUUUGUAGAAUGAACCGGCGAGUUACGAUUUGAUGCAAGGUUAAGCAGUAAAUGUGGAGCCGUAGCGAAAGCGAGUCUGAAUAGGGCGUUUAGUAUUUGGUCGUAGACCCGAAACCAGGUGAUCUACCCUUGGUCAGGUUGAAGUUCAGGUAACACUGAAUGGAGGACCGAACCGACUUACGUUGAAAAGUGAGCGGAUGAACUGAGGGUAGCGGAGAAAUUCCAAUCGAACCUGGAGAUAGCUGGUUCUCUCCGAAAUAGCUUUAGGGCUAGCCUCAAGUGAUGAUUAUUGGAGGUAGAGCACUGUUUGGACGAGGGGCCCCUCUCGGGUUACCGAAUUCAGACAAACUCCGAAUGCCAAUUAAUUUAACUUGGGAGUCAGAACAUGGGUGAUAAGGUCCGUGUUCGAAAGGGAAACAGCCCAGACCACCAGCUAAGGUCCCAAAAUAUAUGUUAAGUGGAAAAGGAUGUGGCGUUGCCCAGACAACUAGGAUGUUGGCUUAGAAGCAGCCAUCAUUUAAAGAGUGCGUAAUAGCUCACUAGUCGAGUGACACUGCGCCGAAAAUGUACCGGGGCUAAACAUAUUACCGAAGCUGUGGAUUGUCCUUUGGACAAUGGUAGGAGAGCGUUCUAAGGGCGUUGAAGCAUGAUCGUAAGGACAUGUGGAGCGCUUAGAAGUGAGAAUGCCGGUGUGAGUAGCGAAAGACGGGUGAGAAUCCCGUCCACCGAUUGACUAAGGUUUCCAGAGGAAGGCUCGUCCGCUCUGGGUUAGUCGGGUCCUAAGCUGAGGCCGACAGGCGU
rnacentral:rRNA from 1 species